UAUUAGUAUAUAGAACGCUAUUGAUUUUUGUACGUUGAUUUUAUAUCCUGAAACCUUAAUUUGUUUAUAUGUCCUAACAGUUUUUUUGUGGAGCCAUUAGGGUGUUCUAUAUAAAAGAUCAAUUUGUCCGCAAAUAGAGACAUUUCACUUCUUCCCUCAAUUAGAAUGCCUUUUGUUUCUUUCUCUUGCUAAGACUUCUAGUGCUAUGUUGAGUAGGAGUGGUGAGAGUGGGCAUCCUUCUCCCUGAUCCUAGGAGAAACGCUUUCGACUUUCCACCAUUGAGAAUGACGUUAGCUAUGGGUGUGGCAUGGGCGUCUCUCCUGUGCUGAGGCAGCUCCCUCUAUGCUGGAUUUGCGAGGGUUUGCUAUUACGAAGGGCGUUGAAGCACGCUGGGGGCUGAGCCUGGAGCACCUGUGGGGGUGCUUCCUGUGGCGUGGUGCCUCUGGCUAGUUUCUCUGAUGUGGCACCUCCAUGGGCCAGGCCCGAUCUGUGCCCUGUUUGCUGUGAGCCCCACCUGUUUUUGUUUCUAACUGGCCCUGUGGGCACUCCCAAUGUUUCCCGUGGGACAAGACAGGUGUGAGCUCCUGCAAAGUGGCCCAGAAUGGUGGGGAUGUGUUUCCCAUGGGACAAGACAGGCGUGAGCUCCUGCAAAGGGGCCCAGAAUGGCGGGGAAGCGUUUCCUGUGGGACAAGACAGGCGUGAGCUCCUGCAAAGGGGCCCAGAAUGGCGGGGAAGCGUUUCCCGUGGGACAAGACAGGCGUGAGCUCCUGCAAUGGGGCCCAGAAUGGCGGGGGAGCGUUUCCCGUGGGACAAGACAGGCGUGAGCUCCUGCAAAGGGGCCCAGAAUCGUGGGGAAGCGUUUCCUGUGGGACAAGACAGGCGUGAGCUCCUGCAAAGGGGCCCAGAAUGGUGGGGAAGCAGAACUUCUGCCUCCAACUCACUUUCUCACCGUGCAACUGCGGAUCCAGAGGAAUCUCUGCAUGUGAGGCUCUGCCAGGUUGGGGAGGAGUGUGCGCUCAACAUCUCUCUCCACUUUUUACCAUUGCAACAGCUUUUCUUAGCUCUGGGGUCCAGGAGUGUGUCUCAGCCUUAGUCCUGAAUUCUGGGACAUGCACGAUGGUAUUCUUGCCUGUGGAGAGCUGCUAGUUGAAUUUCUGUGGUGGUGAGUGAUGUCAGUGAAGUCCCAUUCUGGUUUCUCUCUGAUGUCACACUGAGAGCACAGUUUUGGUGAGAAGAUUAUCUUUGUGUAAAAGCAAAGAAGAGAGGAAAGAACCUGCGUUUCUCCUCUGCACUAUCCGCUGCGUUUUUCUGUAGAAUUGGGUGUGCCAUUUGCAAGAGCUGUGUGUGUGCAGCAGAGCAGGCAGCCAACCAAUCCUUGCGGUUCAGUGUGAGUUGGGAGGGAGAAAGCGCAAACCACUAAGUGUAGACAACACGCAGGGAGUUCAUUUGGGAAGUUUAGCGAGUGGUGUCCAAAGCAGAGUUGCUCCCUCAGCACUAUGGGCAGUUUGGGCCACACAAUUCUUUGUUGUUGGGGAGAGAAGGCUGUCCUGUGCCUUGUAGGAGGUUUGGCAGCAUCCCUGGCCUGGACACCCCAUGACAGUGGCAACCCCUCCCCUAGCGGUGACAAACAUAAAGGUCUCUAGAUGUUGCUAAAUGUCCUCUGGUGGGGGUGGGAAGGGCAUUGCCCUGUGUGAGGACCGCUGGUAGAGACUGUUGCAGGGUUCAGAAAAGAGAUUUUUGUUUUUCAGUUGGGACAUACAUGAUCAGUCUUGGGGAAGGAAGCAGAAGCAAUGGUGGAAUAGGACAAAGAUAAAGGAAAGAGGUGGAAAGUGAUGAACACAGACCGCGAUGACCCGGUGUGGGGUGAUAUGGGCGAGGACAGCAUCCAGCGAAGAGGUCCUGGCUCCUGACUGCAAUUUGGUGGCUCUACUGUACCCUGUGCAACGGGUAUAGGUUGGUGCUUAUUUUCUCUCCAUGUGGUCAGAAGUCUCAUCUUCAAAGUGCUUAAGCUGUAGCCCUUGCCCUGUCACCUCUGGUUAUUGCUGGGACCUGGGUCACACUCCUGGUUCAUCUGCUGGCCCCAGGCCGGGUGAGGCUCCCAUGUGCCUGCUGGCCUGAGAAAGGCUUAUGUGAGUCACGGGCUACUAGGGGCAGAGAGAAGGGAACAGGAUGGAGAAAUUAAGUGAGGAAUAAGAUUGUAGAAAGCCAGGAAGAAGCCGAAAGGGGACUUGGCUCUGGCAGCAUUUUGUUUUGCAUCAGUCUGUGCUGGAAUAAGCUGUCGAAAGGUUGUCUACCCAUUGCCCCCUGGUACCUUGUGCUGUGCUCAUUGUUGGCAAAACACUUGAAUGAUUGUGGCCUAAAUGUGCAGUGAUAAAAGACAGAACAUAGCUUUGUUAUUUUUCUAACCAGAAUAGGAGAGUGGCUUUUGGAAUCAAGAUUUAAAAUUCAGCCUUAUCCUCAUGAUUUGCUUGUGUUUUGGCUUGUAUUUUGGCUUGUGCUUGAAAUGACAAGAAGGAUCAAGGGUUUAAAUGUGAUCUUGAGAAGACAUGAGAGAGAGAAUUGAUAUUUUCCUAUCUAAUAUUUAUAUUACUUUCCUGUAUAGAGUAGGCUAAGGAUUUUAUUUGGACGCUAAUUGUAUGUAAUUCCUAUAGCAGUUAUUUUGAUUAAGCCAACUAGAUUUACCUCUAAUUAUUCAUUUUAAGCCCUAGAUUUAAAGAUAACUUUUUAUUCUCUGUAAACAACCUAAAAGUUGCCUUAGAUUUAUUUCAUAAUAUGUAAAAAUGCUGAAAAAGGGCUAGUUUGGCUGGAGAGACAUUUUAAUUUUUCCCUUUAAUUUUAAAUGACAAUAGUGUGUGUAUAGGAGCUGCGUUUCCUACCGAAUAUUCACCUGGUGUGGAGACUGAAUAACAUGCCACUCUAAGGGUUAAUAAAAGCAUUAAAUAACUUGCAUCUGGGAAACAUCAAUUGAAUAGAUAAUUGCUUCUUUGUGUUUCUGCUUAGUAGUGGCUGGACAUGUAAAGUUUCUAUACCACAAAAUGAAAACAGAUGAGCAAACAAGAGGCCCGGGGUCACAUAACCGAUGCGUGCUCAAAGCUCGAAGCAGCGUCAAUCAAACCUGGAGGGUACCAUGUCGAGAGAUGGUAUCUUUCCAUUAAUCAGGAAUUGGUACCCGGGUGAUAGACGGCCUCUGUAAUGAAAACCUCAGUUAGCAAACAGCCAGAAGAGAGAGAAAAUAAUCCAACCAGCCAAAUAAUCAAAGAACACAUGAGGUGUCUGUAGGGAGAUUUCCACAGUGGGAAACCCAUAGAAAAAGUUCUGUCUCUCACUCUUGUUUUUGUUUUUUGGUUUUGGAUACAAUUUCAUUUAAGUAGAAAGAUCAUCCAUGAUUUUCUCAAUCUUCCUUAUGUCUUUUAUGCACUAUACUUGCCAAAGUAGCAUAGACAGAAAAAAAGCAGGAAUCCUAUGGAUUUCCACCCUUAGUCCUUCAACUAACUUUAAAAUAACUUUUAAUUUUCUUAUUCAGGUCUACAUUCUAAGUCACACUCCCCUCCCACAUGUCUUUGCCUGCUAUUUUACUUCAUUAAUAUUUACCAGCUUUUCUGAAUUUAGACACCUAAUUUUGUAUUUUCAUGUAUUUCUCUGCAUAUCCUUCAGAUCCUUAUUUUCCUCAAUAUUCAUGUAAAAUAUAUAAACUAUAAUUUCUGUGUUCUUUUAAGAGAUAGCAAGUACCUAAACAAAGGGGUGUUCUCCCGUGAUUUUUUUAACUCAGCAUUUUUUGCCAGAAAUGGUCAUUUGGGAUUUAUUCCCACGCCCUUGUGUUUUUCCCUCCCCCUCCCCUUUCCCUCCCUUCCCUCCCUUUAUCUUUUUCUCUCUCCCUUCCUCCUGCCCACCCACCCUACAUUUUUCCCUCCCUCCCUUCUUGCUCCCUCCCUCUCUUUCUUCCUCCCUCCCACCCUCCUUUCCUUCUUUUCCUCUCUUUCUUUGUCCUUUCUUCUCUUCCCUCCUCCUUUCCACCCUUUUCCUUUCACCACUAUUUAUUGAGUGCUUAUUGCACAAGAGACUUUGAGUGUCCAGUGCUGGCUUGUGGCAGGACAAGCUGCAGACAAAACCCCUCAGACACCGAGUUGUAGAAGAAAGGGCUUUAUUCGGCUGGGAGCUUCAGCAAGACUCACGUCUCCAACAACCGACCUCCCCAAAUGAGCAAUUCCUGUCCCUUUUAAGGGCUCACAACUCUAAGGGGGUCCGCGUGAGAGGAUCGUGAUCGACUGAGCAAGCUGAGGGUUCAUGACUGGGGGCUGCAUGCACUGGUAGUUAGAACGGAGAAGAACAGGACAGGGAUUUUCACAGUGCUUUUCCAUACAAUAUCUGUAAUCUAUAGUUAACCUGACCGAUUAGGUCAGGGGUCGAUCUUUAACUACCAGGCCCAGGGUGUGGCACUGGGCUGUCUGCCUGUGGAUUUCAUUUCUGCCUUUUAGUUUUUACUUCUUAUUUCUUUGGAGGCAGAAAUUGCGCAUAAGACGAUAUGAGUAGUGGUCUCCUCCCUUAGCUAAGGACUCUGACUCCUCCUUCUGUGGGGCUCCAUGUAUUCUUUCUCAUUGGCAACACUGGGAAUAGCAGGGCCCAGUUGAGUUUGGAGAGUGUUGCUUAGUGCUCUUUAGUUGCAACCAUCUGAAAAUAACAUGAAAAGAAAGGGGAAUUUCCUGAAAAAUGUUGGUGGUAGCAAUGAGAGCAAGGCUCAAAGAAUAAACUGGAAGCUGAGAAACUAGGCUUGAAAAUAGAAAUCAAAGGGACUGGGGAAGCAAGGACCCUGCAUUCGUCUCUGGGCAGGAAGGGUUCGCUCAGCGCACUGGUGCUGCGAUAAAUAUCAUGUGCCUCUGCUGUUCUCUCAUCACGGAUCAAGAGUCCAAGCCUGGAGGGAGAGCGACUGACAGCCAUGGUCUGGUCACACGCCUGCCUGAGAGCUGCACGGGAGCCGGCGAGGAAAAGCCCUUGCUGCUUCCAGUGUAAGGCAGGUGUCUGGAUUUUUCUUCAAGAGAGCCAACACGAUGAAUGAAGGAACUUAAAUCAUGGCACGGUUAGAAAGAAAAGUAGCAAGACAGGAACUACUCCUUCCCUCCAAACAAAAAGAAAAACAAAAUGAGAUAUUCACUGUAAUUAAUAUGAAUUUGCAAGGGAAAUAAUGCAGUAUAUGAUCUCAGUCUCAACUUAUAUCUUUAUUUCAACUAUAUCUACUUCAGAAAGGAUUUGAAGGGUUUCCAAUAAAAGACAAAUAAAAUGUUAUAAAUGGUAGAUAAAUGAAGAUCAAAUAUGACCCUGGUAGAGGUAUGAGAAUUUUGUCUGUCUUGUUCAAGAGCUACACUGGCUGCACCUGAUAUAGUAGAUGCUCAAUAAGUAUCAUUACCUUCUGCCAGGUCCCUCCCAGGACACAUGGGGAUUAUGGGAACUACAAUUCAAGAUGAGAUUUGAUUAGGGACACAGCCAAACCAUAUCAGUAUUAUAUUUUAUUGCAACUAUUGGCUCAAUAGGUGCACUAUGUAUUUUUGUUCAAAGUUAUUGCUCAAGCGUUUACCGUGUAUAUUGUUAACUUAUCACAGUUUAUUCUUAAGUACUAUUAUAUCAUCUCCCAAGUAAUAUAAAAAUCUUACAGCAGUCCUGGCUUUUCGUGGUUCUUAUAUGCAGGAAUUUUUGUUACUGUGCUUUGGUUAGAUAACAUAUAUAAUUCCUUCAUGGACACAGUGCAAAUUUCACUUUCCACAGUGUAUUAACUAUGUGUAAUUUCAUUCAGUACAAAUUUUGAUGCUGGUUUUUAGUACAAAAAUUAGUAAGUAUUUAAUGGACAAGCAUGAUGAUCAGUGAGCAAUCAUGCUGUCUCUGUGAAAGUGUGCUGGUUAUUUGUCGCUGUGUACCUGUGCGUCUGUAUGAAUUUAGUUUAGACAGAUAUCAAGGUGUGUAGUUGUGUAAACUACUUGUCCUCCAGUCAUAAACUCACAUAAUUUAACUUUUAAAGCACCAUCACUGUUGGAUAAGUGUCCAGGUCACCUUUAUUCAUUUGGAUACCUCCAUGAAGAUGUUAAAAAGCCGCUUUUUACUAACAAAUACAACUUUAAUCGUCCAGCUAGUGGACCAAGGAGUUAUUUCAAUGUUUAAAGCCUACUGUCUUAGACAAACUUUUCAACAGACUACUGAAGCUACAACUGGAGAUCAUGCAAUUUUUAAGCGAAGUUUUGAAAGAUAUAUUACUUAAAAAUGCAGUUGAAAUACUUAAGCAUCAUGGCGGCAAAGAAAGUGAGUAAUAUGUGUGUGCAGUACAGCAGAAACUUGUAUUGCUCUGUGAAAAUAACAUGCAGGAUACCAACAGAAUGCAAGUGGAGCUAUUGGCUCAUUUUGCUCCUGCUUGUGCAGAACUUUUCAUGUCAGGCCAUCUCCUGGGCUACUGGUGAGUUUAUGGAUCGGCCCAGCUGUAGUCUAUCCUGUUGUUCCUGAAGUGGGGUGGAGGUCAGCCAGCAGCCUGCAAAAAUGUUAGAAAAUAAGAGUCAAGCAGGACUUCUGAUGCCCCCAGAUCAUGUUAUUGUUAUGAUCAGCCAUCCACAGCAAGUGUCUUAUUUGCAUUAUAUCCGAUGAUAGUGAUGGAUCUGCAUUGCUGUUUGCCUCUUGUAACCCACAGUGUGAGAAUGCAAAAUCCAGGGUUAGGAGUGCAGUCAGUGGCAGUGUGACUAGGUGUUUCUCUGUAGGAUACUAAGAAAAAUACAGCCCAGGAAACUGUUAGUGCUUUCAUUUUGUUUCACUAUAGGUCUGCCUGGAUGAUCAAAACAGAUGGGAAGGAGCCAUGGUGGGGCAAUGAUCCUGUUCUGUUGCCUCCUGGAGAUUCAAGCAUUAUAUAUGGAGAGCUAUCAUCUCUACCCCUCCUCCCGGUUUACUCUCAUGGUGAGCUCAGGUUAUUGGGGAACAAGUGGUACUCAAGAUGGAUGAAGGACUUAAAUCCAAGACAAGAAACUAUAAAAAUUCUAAAAGACAACAUUGGAAAAACUCUUCUAGACAUUGGCUUAGGCAAGGAUUUCACGAACAAGAACCCAUAAGCAAACGCAAUAAGAACAAAAAUAAAUAGCUGGGACCUAAUCAAACUAAAGAGCUUUUGCACAGCAAAAGGAACAGUCAGCAGAGUAAACAGACAACACACAGAGUGGGAGAAAAUCUUCACAAUCUAUACAUCUGACAAAGGACUGAUAUCCAGAAUCUACAAUGGACUCAAACAAAUUAGCAAGAAACAAAUAAUCCCAUCAAAAAGUGGGCUAAGGACAUGAAUAGACUUUUAGGUUACUUUUAGGUAUUUGUGUGUGCAGACCUCUUGGUGUCAAGGCUAAACUGUUCCUUUCUCUGACACAUGGGAAAUUGAUGCACAAUACCUUGCAGUGUAUAAUUCCAGGCCCCUAGGCACUGGAGACUGGGUUAUCUUUUCACUCAACUGACAGUUGAUACAUUGUUUGCACUGAAAAAUCUGGCUUUGUUGAACCACACCAGUUUAUGUUUUUAAUUCCAAAUCUUACCUUGUUAUGAACUAUUUUUUUGUCCUUUCCUCUAGAGAAAUGCUAAUGCUGCUUGCUUACAUGGAAAGUAAAGUUAAGGAGUUGGUGUUGACAUUUUGGCUUGCUGUCACAGGCAAAAAAGAAUAGUGCUGUUUUUGUGUGUUUAAUUUUCUUUCACUUUCCCCACUCUGUGUAUUGGAGGAUGCCUUUAGCAAUAAGUAGUCCUUAUCCAGGUCACUCACUCAUUAACCGCCAACCACUGACAGUAAUGUCUUUACUAGAUAUUUUGCUUCUUUUGAUUAAUUUGUCUCUAUUUCCUUUGUUCUAAAGCCUAUAGUGAGUAAUCAUAUUUGGAGUAAUAGCAGAGCUCCCUGCUGUGUUUUCAUUUGCUUAAAUCAAGACUUAGCUGCUGUAUUGAGGAACCAAGACUGAGAUGUGGGGCUAGGAGGGCCUAGGGUCUGUCAGGCACUCUUCAGUGACUUGAGGUGCUGAAUGACUCACACUGUACUGGGAGAUGACCACCUGUGUGCAUCCAACACAGUCACAGAUAGUGCCAUUGAGCCACCAGGAGCAGCCACAGACCAUCAGUGGUUGUGCUUUGGAAUACGCAAUUUUGUGUUUCUGGUGAGCUGUAAUCUUUUCUUUUCCCAUAGAAUUAUUUUUCAUUGAAUUAUGCUAUUAAAACUCAUCUUUGGGUUUCUUGUAACGUCAUUGCCGAGAACGUUAUUUUUGCAUUUCACAGUGAUUUCUUGAGGAGGAAGUAAGAAGUAAUUGUUUUCUGGACUCACUGUCUGAAAAACUUGCACUUUACUGAAGCGAUUGUUUUGUUUACACUAAGUAACAAUAUGAGUUUUGUUAGCUUUUUGGAUGGACUACAAAGCAUAAAACCAACUUUGUUCCUCAUCUCUGGCAAAGAUGGAGGGUUGUUGGCUUGUGUUGUGUGAUGAGUCUUAUACCUGGCUCUGUCUGCUCUUGCCUUUUGCCUUACAUUUCAAAGACCUCACUUUUUUCUUUUCUUUUUUUAAAAAAUAUUUUAUCACAUGAUUUUCUAUACAUUUUAAUAAAAUUUCUUUUUUGUAAAAAAAGCAAAGCAUAAAUAAAAUAGGGUAGCCAUUUCUUCUAAGGUUAUGUUGAAUCUAACCCAAACUCUUAUCAGAGAAAACUCUGCUUUAGAUGUAGCCUAAAGCAGGAAGCAACAAACCUGUAUACAGCCAAAGUAUCAUCUCAAGGGCCUGCAUUCAAAUCUCACACAUGUGGCUUGAAAGUGAUCUCUUUUGCCCUUAUUUCAAGGCCUAAUCUUAGGUUACAUAGUACUUAAAGAAGCUUCAGUAUGCAAUUUCAAAGCCUGUAGUAGAUGUAAAAUGAGAAAAUUAGAAAUAAGGAGAAAAGCUGCUACAUGAGGACACUGACAGCAAGGAAAGGGAGAGAAAAACUCACAAAGUAAGUGGAAAAAUAGACCAAUGCAAAUAACCCCACAUAGUUUAACAGACCUCAUCAUAUCUAUUGUGUACAUGUUUGUAUGACAUAGAUUAUAUCUAUUAUAUGUAAUCCAGUGUUCAUAGUGUUGACUUAGAAAUUAUCAACCAAAUUCAAAGCUUUUAGGCUUUGAAAAUUGUUUGAAAAGAUUUUCACCCAAAAUAUUUAAAUUAUUAAAAAAAAUUAUUGUUGAUUAAAGUUGUAAUCCUCAAUUAAUUAGAAGUUUUGGCUAUCCAGAGACCUUAUAUUCCAAAGACUUUAGAGAGUUGUUUGUUAGAUCACAUAAAUUAUUACCAAUAUCCUACAUUUAAGCUUCUAAUUUACGUAAAUUGUGAGCAAAAUUGAGAGCCACACAAAUAUUCAAUCUCUGAAGCUCUUAUGGCAGCAUUGAUCAAAUAGGUUAGAGAACACAUGGAUACAGCUUUAUUGCCUUCUAGUUUUACUGCAAACGUGUUAUUUAAUAGUAUGCAAAUGAUUGGCUAGAUGUACAGACUGCCAGGGCCUUCAUAGCAAACAGGUUUUGUGUUUACCCUAGCAUACAAAAAUGCUUCAUCUACGAUGUAUGCUGUAACUGUGUGUAUUGUCUACCCUAGCAUGCAAAAAUGCUUCAUCUAAAAUGUAUGCUAUAACUAUGUGUAUUAUAUUAUCUAUAAUUAUAUUUCUCCUUGGUUUAAUAUUAGAUAUUUUCAGGUACAAGAAAUGUAUGCACAUUAUAGAUUCAAUGCAUGUAGGUUAUAUGUGUAAAUAUUUAUUGAUAAGAGGCAUUAAACCCCUGCCUUCUAUGCUGGAUAAACUCCUGAACUUAGCCUCCAAAACACCACAGUAGCCUCCCUGGUAAGCACAGGGCUCUUUCUCUACCCUUUUGUGUCUCCCACGCUCCCACUUGUCUACAAGAGCUGAGUGUAGACCAAGAGCAAUAAAGUUCAUUUCCCCAAAAUAAGGCGUAGCAUUCAGGUUUUGUGAUACCUGAUUGGUUUACAUUGUUUACAGGUGGGGCCUCGAAGGGGUAAAAAUCAGAAGCUUCUUAUUCUGAGCGCAAGGGCAAGAUCAUUGAGCAGACAUUGACCUCCCUUCAGACAUUUCUUGGGAGGAACAGAAUGAGAAUUUCAGGGGCCAGUGCCUGCACCCUACUAGCUGUGGCAGCCUGGUGCUCAUCUACUUCUCCAGCUUGGGAAGGCCUAGGUUAACCCCAGUCUUUGGAGGCAUUGUUAUUCCUCUUCUCUCCCUGCUUCCCCGUGUUUGUGUUCUGGGCCCGGUGUAACACUGAGGUUCAGAAUUGCUUUCAAGAGAGGAGCCCAUUUCUGUGUCUAUGCAAGGCUGGACAAUUUCUCCAAGUGGUUCAGCCUGUGGGGGUUAACGGGGCAAAAGCAUCUCAGCUAGUAAUAAACACUGCUUCGCCUCUUGCUUUUUUAUUUUUAUUUUUGCAAAACUUCUCUGUAGGUGUGUAUUUCUCUAGAGGAUUUCAAAAAUUCUCUGUAGGUGCGUAUUUCUGUAGAGGAAGGAGUGGUGACUGGGCCAGGGUGAAUGGAUUAUUUGAUCUAUAUUAUCUUGAAUUUUAUAUCUUUUAUUUUAAAAUUUGGGUGUUUUUUGAAGUAGGAAAUCAAUGCACAUGGCUGAAUAUCUAAAAAGUGUAAAAGUAUACAUUGAAAAGUCUUCCUCCUAAUCUCGUGAUUGUCUUCGUUUCAGUCCCCAUGGCCACAUCAUGAGGCUACUGAUGUCAUUAGUUUCUUUUGCGUUCUUCUAGGGUUUCUGUUGGCAUAUGCAAGCAACAAUAAAUGUAUACCUUUAUGUUUUCUCUUUUUACAGCAAGGACAGUUUAUUAAACACACUGUUUUAAACCUUAUUUUUUCUCUAAAUAAUAUUUCAUAUAAGUCAGUAUGUAGACUUUAUGUAUUUUUAAAAUGAAGACAUAGCGUUCCACUGAACUUAGACAAUAAUUUACUUAACUAGUCCAAGAUUGAAGAAUAAAAUUAUUUUGAAUCUUUUGUUAAUAGUUAAUAGCUUUGAUGAGUACACUUAUGCAUACAUUAUUUUACACAUGUUCAAGUAUGUUGUAUAAACCCCAAAGUGGGAAUGCUCUGUCAAAUAUUACAGGUAUUUGCAACUUUGAUAGAUACUAAUUGCCCUCGAUAGAGGUAGUAAAAGCUUACACUCCACAGCCUUACUGAUGAUAUAUAUUAUAAAACUUUUAGUUCUUGCCAAUCUAAACGUGAAAAAUGGUAUUUCAUGGUAAUUUAAAUGCUUUUCUCGUUUUAUAACUGAGGUUGACAUCUAUCAAAAAAUUAUUUGAAUUUUUCUGAGAACUAUUAAUCUUUGAAUCCUUUUCUGUUGUUUAUCUUUUCCUUCUUCAUUUCUAAAAGUUCCUAUACAGAGAGAUUCACCCGUUAUCUGUGAUAUGAUUACAAAUGUCUGCCCUCCAAUUUGUUAUAUGUCUUUAGAUCCAAAUACCUUAUUUUUUGCCAUGUAGAAAUUUUUAAUUUGUAUGUGAUAAAAUGUUAAUACUUUAUGGAUUCUGGAUUUUCAGAAAUAAAAAGGUCAUCCUCAC